UCUGGUGGCGAUAGCGAGAUGGUCACACCCGUUCCCAUGCCGAACACGGAAGUUAAGCUUCUCAGCGCCGAUGGUAGUUGGGGGUUUCCCCCUGUGAGAGUAGGACGUUGCCAGGC
rnacentral:rRNA from 1 species